rnacentral:ncRNA from 1 species
UUGAACAGGGGAGCUUGUAUUGCAGGCUGAGAGGAAGUAAUCAACUUCGACCCUUACACCUGAUUUGGAUAAUGCCAACGUAGGAAGUGAUC